rnacentral:rRNA from 1 species
AUUGAACGCUGGCGGCAUGCCUUACACAUGCAAGUCGAACGGUAACAGGUCUUCGGAUGCUGACGAGUGGCGAACGGGUGCGUAAUACAUCGGAACGUGCCCGAUCGUGGGGGAUAACGAAGCGAAAGCUUUGCUAAUACCGCAUACGAUCUACGGAUGAAAGCAGGGGACCGCAAGGCCUUGCGCGAACGGAGCGGCCGAUGGCAGAUUAGGUAGUUGGUGGGAUAAAAGCUUACCAAGCCGACGAUCUGUAGCUGGUCUGAGAGGACGACCAGCCACACUGGGACUGAGACACGGCCCAGACUCCUACGGGAGGCAGCAGUGGGGAAUUUUGGACAAAGGGCGAAAGCCUGAUCCAGCCAUGCCGCGUGCAGGAUGAAGGCCUUCGGGUUGUAAACUGCUUUUGUACGGAACGAAAAGACUCUGGUUAAUACCUGGGAUCCAUGACGGUACCGUAAGAAUAAGCACCGGCUAACUACGUG